UACGGGGGGAGCAAGCGUUGUUCGGAUUUACUGGGCGUAAAGGGCGCGUAGGCGGUCAGCACAAGUCAGUUGUGAAAUCUCCGGGCUUAACUCGGAAAGGUCAACUGAUACUGUGCGACUAGAGUGCGGAAGGGGCAACUGGAAUUCUCGGUGUAGCGGUGAAAUGCGUAGAUAUCGAGAGGAACACCUGCGGCGAAGGCGGGUUGCUGGGCUGAUACUGACGCUGAGGCGCGAAAGCGUGGGGAGCAAACAGG
rnacentral:rRNA from 1 species